UGGCCCCUUAGCUCAGUGGUUAGAGCAGGCGACUCAUAAUCGCUUGGUCGUUGGUUCAAACCCAACAGGGGCCACC
rnacentral:tRNA from 1 species